CCCAGCGCAGGGGCCGGCGGCCGCGGCAGGGCGGGCGCCGCGCGGAGGCAGGGCGGGCGUAUUCAAUGGAAGUAUGUUACCAGCUGCCGGUGCUGCCCCUGGACAGGCCGGUCCCCCAGCACGUCCUCAGCCGCCGAGGAGCCAUCAGCUUCAGCUCCAGCUCCGCGCUUUUCGGCUGUCCCAACCCCCGGCAGCUCUCACAGAGGCGUGGAGCCAUUUCCUAUGACAGUUCCGAUCAGACUGCAUUAUACAUUCGUAUGCUAGGAGAUGUACGUGUGAGGAGCCGAGCAGGAUUUGAAUCAGAAAGAAGAGGCUCUCAUCCAUACAUUGAUUUUCGCAUUUUUCACUCUCAGUCUGAGAUCGAAGUGUCUGUCUCUGCAAGGAACAUUAGAAGGUUACUAAGUUUCCAGCGCUAUCUCAGAUCCUCACGCUUUUUCCGUGGUACUACGGUUUCCAGCUCUCUUAACAUUUUAGAUGACGAUUACAAUGGACAAGCCAAGUGUAUGCUGGAAAAAGUUGGAAAUUGGAAUUUUGAUAUCUUUCUAUUUGAUAGACUAACAAAUGGAAAUAGUCUAGUAAGCUUAACCUUUCAUUUAUUUAGUCUUCAUGGACUAAUUGAAUACUUCCAUUUAGAUAUGAUGAAACUUCGUAGAUUUUUAGUUAUGAUUCAAGAAGAUUACCACAGUCAGAAUCCUUACCACAAUGCAGUCCAUGCUGCAGACGUUACUCAGGCCAUGCACUGUUACUUAAAAGAACCUAAGCUUGCCAAUUCUGUAACUCCUUGGGAUGUGUUGCUGAGCUUAAUUGCAGCUGCCACUCAUGAUCUGGAUCAUCCAGGUGUUAAUCAACCUUUCCUUAUUAAAACGAACCAUUACUUGGCAACUUUAUACAAGAAUACCUCAGUAUUGGAAAAUCACCACUGGAGAUCUGCAGUGGGCUUAUUAAGAGAAUCCGGUUUAUUCUCACAUCUACCAUUAGAAAGCAGGCAACAAAUGGAGACUCAGAUAGGUGCUUUGAUACUAGCCACAGACAUCAGUCGCCAGAACGAGUACCUGUCUUUGUUUAGGUCCCAUUUGGAUAGAGGGGACUUAUGCCUGGAAGAUGCCAGACAUAGGCAUUUGGUUUUACAGAUGGCUUUGAAAUGUGCUGAUAUUUGUAACCCUUGUCGGACCUGGGAAUUAAGUAAGCAAUGGAGUGAAAAAGUAACAGAAGAAUUCUUCCACCAAGGAGAUAUAGAAAAAAAGUAUCAUUUGAGUGUGAGUCCACUUUGUGAUCGCCAGACUGAAUCUAUUGCCAACAUCCAGAUUGGUUUUAUGACUUACCUGGUGGAGCCUUUAUUUACAGAAUGGGCCAGGUUUUCAGAUACGCGGCUGUCUCAGACAAUGCUCGGACAUGUGGGGCUGAAUAAAGCCAGCUGGGAAGGACUGCAGAGGGAGCAGCCCAGCAGGGAGGACCCCGACGCGGCAUUCCAGUUGAACUCACAGUUAUUACCUCAGGAAAAUCGGUUAUCCUAACCCCUGAACCAGUGGGGCAAACUGGCUCCUGGAAGUUUUUAGAAAUGUGAAAUGGGGUCUUGAGGUGAGAGAACUUACUCUUGACUGCCAAGGUUUCCAAGUGAAUGAUGCCAGCAUUAUUUAUUUCCAAGAUUCCCUCUGUUGGAUCAUUUGAACCUUCUUUUUAAUUAUAAGACCUGAACAUACAGCAAUAUGCAUUUGGCUUUUGUGUGAAACCUUGAAUAUGCAAAGCCCAGCAGGAGAACCUGAAAGGAAUAACAAAGGAAGUUUCUCAAGUUGUGCCAUGUGCUUUUCAAAAUAUUCAAACCCGUUCUUCAAACUGUGAAACUUGAACUGAAUAUUUCAGCAGCAAUCUCUUGGAAUCCAGCCAGUCCGAUGCAACAGUGUGUGUCUGUAUCUUCCACUAAGUUCUCUCGGAGAAAACGGAAAUGUGAAGUGCCCAGCCUCUGCUGCCUCUGGCAAGACUCAAUGUUUACAAAUCAACUCUGAAAAUCUUGGUUCUAAAUUGCCUUGGAGCAUGAUUGUGAAGGAACCACUAAAAAACUUAAAGAUCAAACUUUAGACUGCAGCUCUUUCCCCCGGUUUGCCUUUUUUCCCCUUCCUUUGGAUGCCACCAAAGCCUCCCAUUUGCUCUAUUUUAUUUUGUGCACUGGAAACUGAGCAUUUAUCAUAGAGUACGGCCAAGCUUUCACUCCAGUGCUGUUUGGCAAUGCAAAUUUUUUUACCUGUUCGUUUUUUAAUUUGGGGCGGGAGGGGAAGAACACCAAUGUCCUAGCUGUAUUAUGACUCUGCAGUGAAGACAUUGCAUGUUGUUUUCACUACUGUACACUUGACCUGCACAUGCAAGAAAAAGGUGGAAUGUUUAAAACACCAUAAUCAGCUCAGGGUAUUUGCCAAUCUGAAAUAAAGUGGGAUGGGGAAGUGUGUCCUUCCGAUCAAGGGUACUAAAGUCCCUUUCGCUGCAGUGAGUGAGAGGCAAAUCUUCUUGACAAGCCAACUUGUGAACUGGGUGAGCGUGGAUUCUGAGCGAGGGAAGCAAGUUGCCUCAUGCAUCCAUCUCCCUGUGGGGAUACAUCUGCUGUUAGCGUGUCCGUGGACCCGGGUACUCUCCUCCCCGGAUGAUGCUAGAGAUUCUCUGCCCGGAGUUGCUUCUCCACAUUAGCUUGUGAUGGGCAGCUCUAUCACAUACGUCAUUACCUUCAGCCGUCUUUCAGUUGAGCUUGUCUAGGCUCCAUUCUGCCUGUAUGACUGCUUGCUUUUUGCUCUGAUUUUUUUGUCUUACAAUUUAAUAAUCAGUUUCCUCUUUGCAUAUUCUCAGGGACACCUCAGUGUUGCUUCCAUCUUUCUGCCUGAACAUAUAAUAAACCCAAUGAAAAGUUGUGUUUUAUUAUGUAUGUGAGAAUCCCAUUCUGUUGCCCUGUUUCUUAGAUGUGACUUAUAUACCUGAACAUGGACUUUUCUAGAAACUUCGAAAGUUAAAUAUUUAGGUCACAUUUUUUUAAAGCAAAUACUAUUGAACAGAAUGCAAACGUCACACAAAUUUUCAAGAUGAAACACAUUUCAAAGUUGAACAUGUAGAAGCCUCUUUGAGCUCUCUGUCCAACAUUUUAGUGGCAAGGGAAUCUCUGCUUUAGGGGUAAAAAUCCUUGGAGAGUUUUGACAAGUCCUAGUCCAACACUGAUAAAAACUGGUUCCUUGUCAGUAUUUGUACUCACUGUCAGUGUGGUUUCUAAUGAUCCUCUUUGUAUAAAAGUAAAAAUUACAUUUUAUGUUUUUGCAAACCUGGAAAAUAUUCUUGUACCUGAGGUACAGGUUAAGAGGUGCUAGUAAUUCCUUCAGGACUCUGAAAAGGGUCUCUUAAUUUUCCUCAAUGCUUUCUUGGCUUUUAUUAAACUAUUUUCUUAAAACUGUAAAAUUUUCACAUCGAGUUUCCAGUGUCUUCAUAUAUAAAUAUUUUAAUGUAUACUGUUUAAAUUCCCUUCCAGUUGUGUCUGCCAAUUGACAAAAUACGUACUGACCAAUAAUAUGAAUUCAUACUGCUUUUAUUAAAGAAAUGUACAUGCUAGUGACCAUGGCAUCAAUGUCCAUCUGAAACAGGGUAAACAUGGGCAAAACCCAGUCUGCAGUCCUUCCUUGCUGAGGACCUGCAGCACGUGCCACUUGGAAGAGCUAAGCCCGUGCCCGCAGGAGGAGCGAGCACUACUUGGGGGGUGAAGUGACAAAGGGCACGUCUUGGGUCAUCUGUCUUCCUGGCUCCUGUGUUCAGUAUAGGGCUGGUGUAAAUUGGGCCAUCAAUAAAUUUGUUUGUUGAACAAACUAA